GAGUACGUGAAACUGCUUAGAGGUUAAACCCGAUGAACCUGAAUAUCCAUUAUGGAAAAUUCAAUACUUAGAAAAUAAUAUAUAUUAUAUUGUUAAAAUAGUGUGCAAUUUUUCCAUAUAAGGACAUUGUAAUCUGUUAAUGUAAUAAAUAUUUAUCAAAAGAUUUUUUACUUAAGUUUAUUCAAAUUGCUUAUUUUCGGAUAUUCAACAUAAAAUAAAUGUAUUAAAUCAAAUAAAUCAUUGACAGAUAUAAUUAUAUAAUGUGCUCAAAUUCUACGGAAUUUUGCAAUGGUAAAUAGAUCUACUGAUUUGUUUAUUAAAUUGUUUGCGCUAUUAUGAUUAACAAUGCGAUAGAUUCAGGAUACCUUCGGGACCCGUCUUGAAACACGGACCAAGGAGUCUAACAUAUGUGCAAGUCAUUGGGUAUUUUUAAUAAAACCCAAUGGCAUAAUUAACUUAACUUUUAUAAUAUAAUGGGAUUAAUUUAUAAUUUAUUAUGAAUUAUUUAUUCAAUCCCGGGGCGUUCUAUACAGUUAUGUAUGAUGAUAUUUAUAUUAUUUAUACCUCUAACUAGAGCGUACCUUGAGCAUAUAUGCUGUGACCCG
rnacentral:rRNA from 1 species